rnacentral:rRNA from 1 species
CCUACGGGAGGCAGCAGUGGGGAAUAUUGCACAAUGGGGGGAACCCUGAUGCAGCGACGCCGCGUGGGUGAAGGAGUACUUCGGUACGUAAAGCCCUAUCAGCAGGACAGAAAAUGACGGUACCUGACUAAGAAUCCCCGGCUAACUACGUGCCAGCAACCGCGGUAAUACGUAGGGUGCAAGCGUUGUCCGGAUUUACUGGGUGUAAAGGGGUCGUAGACGGCAGUGCAAGUCCGGAGUGAAAGCCCGGGGCUCAACCCUGGGACUGCUCUGGAAACUGGAAAGCUGGAGUGCGGGAGGGGCAGGAGGAAUUCCGGGUGUAGCGGGGAAAUGCGUAGAUAUCAGGAGGAACACCGGAGGCGAAGGCGGCCUGCUGGACCGUAACUGACGUUGAGGAUCGAAAGCGUGGGGAGCAAACAGGAUUAGAGACCCUGGUAGUC